rnacentral:rRNA from 1 species
AGGGUUUGAUCCUGGCUCAGAUUGAACGCUGGCGGAAUGCUUUACACAUGCAAGUCGAGCGGCAGCGCGGGGCAACCUGGCGGCGAGCGGCGAACGGGUGAGUAAUGCAUCGGAACAUGUCCAUGUCGUGGGGGAUAGCCCGGCGAAAGCCGGAUUAAUACCGCAUACGCCCGAGAGGGGAAAGCCGGGGACCGCAAGGCCUGGCGCGAUUGGGUUGGCCGAUGUCCGAUUAGCUAGUUGGCGGGGUAAGAGCCCACCAAGGCGAUGAUCGGUAGCUGGUCUGAGAGGAUGAUCAGCCACACUGGGACUGAGACACGGCCCAGACUCCUACGGGAGGCAGCAGUGGGGAAUUUUGGACAAUGGGGGAAACCCUGAUCCAGCCAUUCCGCGUGAGUGAAGAAGGCCUUCGGGUUGUAAAGCUCUUUUGUCCGGAACGAAACGGUGAGCGUGAAUAUCGCUCGCUACUGACGGUACCGGAAGAAUAAGCACCGGCUAACUACGUGCCAGCAGCCGCGGUAAUACGUAGGGUGCGAGCGUUAAUCGGAAUUACUGGGCGUAAAGCGUGCGCAGGCGGUUUUGUAAGCCAGAUGUGAAAUCCCCGGGCUUAACCUGGGAAUGGCAUUUGGGACUGCAAGGCUUGAGUGCGGCAGAGGAGACUGGAAUUCCCGGUGUAGCAGUGAAAUGCGUAGAUAUCGGGAGGAAUACCGAUGGCGAAGGCAGGUCUCUGGGCUGACACUGACGCUCAUGCACGAAAGCGUGGGGAGCAAACAGGAUUAGAUACCCUGGUAGUCCACGCCCUAAACGAUGUCGACUGGUUGUUGGGGGUUUGACACUCUCAGUAACGAAGCUAACGCGUGAAGUCGACCGCCUGGGGAGUACGGCCGCAAGG